UGACUUUUUAUCCCAUGUGUAGUUUGCGCUUUGUCCACACGAUGGCCCUUUAGACCCAGAAGAACACAUCUCAGCAAUAAGCAUUCAGGCUCCACCAUCAUCGUCAACAAAAUGGAUGACAGCCUUUAGAAAUAGCAGGCAGCGUGCGUCACGACUCGGGUGCGGGUGCUGUGUGCACUGCCAUCCAUUUAUGUUCCACCUGUUUUGAUGCAUCAGCACAAGGAGGGAGAGGGAAAUGGAGCAGAGAGUUGCUGCUCCUAAAAGUUGUAGGGUGGGGCUAGCUGAACCAUGGCAUUGACCAGGCUUUCAAUCUAUUUCCAAGUGGGGGUCCAUGACGUCUGGCCAGGCUUCAUUUGGCAUCCAUCGGACCAUUCCUGACUGGAUGAUGAAGGCUGUAAGAGGAGGAAAGCUAGGAUUCACCACCUCCCAUUACUCAUGCAGCAAGGUUCUAGCAAUGUGCACUUGCACAUUGAACACUCUCUAUCGAUCGAUUCUCCCUCGUUCUGUCACUCUCUCACUCCCUCUGUUUCUCUGUGUGCUGUGCAAGGCAUCUUCCCUAAAUCAGUCUCUUUGUGUCCUUCAUUCAUUCCUCCUCUCUCCUGCACUCUCUCCCUCUCCUUCCUACCUCUUUCUGUAUUCCUUUCUUCUUCCCUCUCACCAGUACUGCAGUGUCCAUCUGCACAUGCCCAGACCAGAGUGCCACUGCAAAUUCCAUCUUCAGGGACAUCUCAAAAACUCUCACAGCCAGGAAACACAUGAUGAAUUCAUAAGCCGGGUUGAUCAUUAAAUUAAAUCUAUUUUGAAGAACAAAUUGAACCAGUGUGAUGUUAC